rnacentral:rRNA from 1 species
AUUGAACGCUGGCGGCAGGCUUAACACAUGCAAGUCGAGCGGGGAAAGGUAGCUUGCUACCUGACCUAGCGGCGGACGGGUGAGUAAUGCUUAGGAAUCUGCCUAUUAGUGGGGGACAACGUUCCGAAAGGAACGCUAAUACCGCAUACGUCCUACGGGGGAAAGCAGGGGAUCUUCGGACCUUGCGCUAAUAGAUGAGCCUAAGUCGGAUUAGCUAGUUGGUGGGGUAAAGGCCUACCAAGGCGACGAUCUGUAGCGGGUCUGAGAGGAUGAUCCGCCACACUGGGACUGAGACACGGCCCAGACUCCUACGGGAGGCAGCAGUGGGGAAUAUUGGACAAUGGGCGCAAGCCUGAUCCAGCCAUGCCGCGUGUGUGAAGAAGGCCUUUUGGUUGUAAAGCACUUUAAGCGAGGAGGAGGCUCCUUUAGUUAAUACCUAAAGUGAGUGGACGUUACUCGCAGAAUAAGCACCGGCUAACUCUGUGCCAGCCGCCGCGGUAAAAC